rnacentral:rRNA from 1 species
UACGGAGGGUGCAAGCGUUAUCCGGAUUCACUGGGUUUAAAGGGUGCGUAGGAGGGUAGGUAAGUCAGUGGUGAAAUCUCCAAGCUUAACUUGGAAACUGCCGUUGAUACUAUCUGUCUUGAAUAUUGUGGAGGUGAGCGGAAUAUGUCAUGUAGCGGUGAAAUGCUUAGAUAUGACAUAGAACACCAAUUGCGAAGGCAGCUCACUACUCAAUCAUUGACUCUGAGGCACGAAAGCGUGGGGAUCAAACAGG